ensembl:lncRNA
CACCCUCAUAUCAUAUCAUCCCAAACCUGUAAGACCUCAUCUUUGGAGCACAAAUUAAGAUAUUUUUGAAGAAAUCUGAAAGCUUUCUGACCUGCGUAGACAGCAACGCAACUGCCACAUUCAAGACCCAGAAAGGUAGUAAGGACAUCGUUAAAAUAGUCUAUGUGACAUCAGUGGUUCAAUCGUAAUGUUAUGAAGCUACACGAAUACUUUUUGUGUGCAAAGAAAACAAAAAUAUUAAUUUUGUUCAACAAUUUAUUUUCUUCCAUGUCAGCCUUCACCAUACUUUGGAGAAUACCACGAUGCAUGCGUGUGAUGCUGAUGAUGCAGGUGCCGGCGUUGUGACCUAGAACCCGGAUGAGUUGCAGCUUGUUUACAAGCAGAAGAAGAUGCAUGCUCCCUACGUGGCCUGUGCCCUGUGGUGGAUCUCUUGGUUUAGGCCAUAUUCACUACGCACUUUGCUGCCAGAGGCAUCCGCUGCUGUGGCCAAGCGCACCCCUGAGCCAUACACUGGAGAAUAUGUAAGCGUCUCCCUCAAUUAGUCCUGUUUGGUCUUAACACUGCUCCUGGCUUCGGCAAACCCACCACUCCCAGGGGACCCAGUGGUGAUAUUUUCAGUGUCAAUAAACCUUUACAGCAAACUGGCAAAGAAGUUGCCCCUAAUGGACAUUAGUGGUACUGCAGUUUAAAACUGUAAGAAUCUUUAUUCAUGGACACUGGAACUUAUUAUCAGCUGCAGUCUUUUAACAACAGUGAAUUUGAAUGAACUUGUGUAACCCAUUACCAUUAUUCAGUGUUUUUAUUAGGUUUUUCAGCAUUUAUAAGUGUUAAAAUAAAAGUGUAAAAAAUGUAAAAUAAAUGUAAGAAAAGCAUAAGUAGUUUGUAAUAUAAUAUCAUCAUUUGCUAAUAGUUUUAUUUUUCCACAUUGAAGUGUUAAUGUGUAUGCAAAGUAAAUCAUAAAUAAUAAUAAUAAUAACACAAAAUUUAUAAAACUAAAAUUGCUAAAUAUACAUAAAACUAAAUUAAUAAAACUAGAAAAUGCUAAAUAUAAAAUUGGAAAGUAACUCAAAAUACUAAUAAAAACUACAAUAGCAUUUCUUCUUUUAAAUAUGCUUACAAAAUGUUUGUACAGAGCCCAACACAUGAUGCAUUAGAAGAAAAAAAAAAAAAAACUAUUUAUGAUGACCACGACUUAAAAAUGUUUAUAAAAGUUAAAAAAGUAAUACAAUGUGGCCAUAAUUGACAUAAAACAAGGAAAAAAAUUAAUCAAACAUGACCAUGAUUUAACUAAAAUGAGGGAACAAAUUAAUAAAAUGUGAUAUGUUUGUGUCAUUUUUUGGGCAG